rnacentral:rRNA from 1 species
AACGAACGCUGGCGGCGCGUCUUAAGCAUGCAAGUCGAACGGCAAGAGAGGAGCUUGCUUCUCUCCUAGAGUGGCGGACUGGUGAGGAACACGUGGGUAAUCUACCCUUAAGAUGGGGAUAGCUGCUAGAAAUAGCAGGUAAUACCGAAUACACUCGAAGUUUCAUAAGAAGCUUCGAGGAAAGGAAGCUACGGCUUCGCUUGAGGAUGAGCUUGCGUCCCAUUAGCUAGUUGGUGAGGUAACGGCCCACCAAGGCGACGAUGGGUAUCCGGCCUGAGAGGGUGAACGGACACAUUGGGACUGAGAUACGGCCCAAACUCCUACGGGAGGCAGCAGCUAAGAAUAUUCCGCAAUGGACGGAAGUCUGACGGAGCGACGCCGCGUGGAUGAAGAAGGCUGAAAAGUUGUAAAAUCCUUUUGUUGAUGAAGAAUAAGGGUGAGAGGGAAUGCUCAUCUGAUGACGGUAAUCGGCGAAUAACCCCGGCUAAUUA